AGCGUAGGCGGAUUUUUAAGUUAAGUGUGAAAGCCUGGGGCUUAACUCCAGAAUUGCACUUAAUACUGGAUUUCUAGAGUGUGGGAGAGGUAAGUGGAAUUCCUAGUGCAGCGGUAGAAUGCGUAGAGAUUAGGAGGAACAUCAGAGGCGAAGGCGGCUUACUGGACCAUAACUGACACUGAGGUGCAAAAGCGUGGGUAGCAAACA
rnacentral:rRNA from 1 species